GACGAACGCUGGCGGCGUGCCUAACACAUGCAAGUCGAACGAGAUCCAUGGGAGCUUGCUCCCGGAAGAUCUAGUGGCGAACGGGUGAGUAACACGUGAGAAACCUGCCCUGGAGUGGGGAAUAACUCGGGGAAACUCGAGCUAAUACCGCGUACCCUCGGAUGGUCGCAUGGCCGACCGAGGAAAGAUUUAUCGCUCUAGGAGGGUCUCGCGGCCUAUCAGCUAGUUGGUGGGGUAACGGCCUACCAAGGCAACGACGGGUAGCUGGUUUGAGAGAACGAUCAGCCACACUGGGACUGAGACACGGCCCAGACUCCUACGGGAGGCAGCAGUGGGGAAUCUUGCGCAAUGGGCGAAAGCCUGACGCAGCAACGCCGCGUGCGGGAUGACGGCC
rnacentral:rRNA from 1 species